rnacentral:lncRNA from 1 species
AACAUUAUAGUGGAAAGAUAAGUAUCAAAAUUUUCAAAAUUUUAAUAUUUUUCUCCUUGUUUUAAUUUUCGACAAUCGAAUAUUUCAUCGGGUCUGGAUCCUGACAUGAAAACUAUUUCAGAUUCUGCCCACCAAAAGAUCAGGUCCUAGUUGACUUCAAGUCGAAUAUGGAUAUAACGUGUUCAGAUCUACAUCCGAAACUUCUUGACAAUUUUUCUUACUCAUAUAAUAUUCAUUUUUAAUCGGAUUCGCAUCGGAUUCAAAUAAGGUACGGGAUAUGGGGUAUUUUGGACAUCUAAAUUCUUCGGUGGGACCAAGCUAAGAUUUUUGUAUGAUCAUUCCAUUUGCAUAGUGCAGAUGGAAGAAAAAAAGACAAAAAAGGUUUGUGGGCCUUGUUGUGGAAAAUGUAGAUCACGAUUUGUUAAAAUUAUUUUGGGGGUGUUUUUAAUCAUAUUGAUUUGUAGCAGUAUUAAUGUAGUAUCAGAGUGACCUGUUCUAUACCGAAUUUGUUCCAAAUGAUCUUAAGUUCAAUUCCAACAUCUUUUACAAGUAAUUUUUUAUUCCACCACAGCACCACAUGUAUUGAAUUUGUGACAAACAAGUCACCCAAUUCCUUUGCACUUUAAUUACGAGGCCAUUGAUAUAAUAAUUAGGAUUAAUUGCAUAUAAGUCUUUACAAAUUAAUGUAGAGAAUUGCAAAAGUAUUUCUACAAAAUUCAACAUUCAUAUGUUGUCUCUGCAAAAGUUCUGAUGUUUUCAAAUAUGUCUCUGCUGUUAGAAUCCGUUAGAAAAAUUUAGUUAACCAUAGGUUAAAUACUUAAAUCUGAUUAAUUAAUAAGUGUCUGCGACCACGAAUGACGUACCUCGCACGGUUAAUCAAAUUUUCUGUUUUCCGUGGGGUAGUAUUCAUGAUUCAGAUUAAUAUUUGAAUAUGUAUAGUUAUCAGGUAUUGUGAAUUCAUGGCUUCCAAUAAACGCAAGCGUUUAUUGUUAAUUACCCCUACAAAGUGUUAGGGUAUCUUCGAUUAAGAGACCUUUGUAAUACUGAAAUAGACUAAAAUUGAAUAAAAGGUGGAUUUUAUAACACAAUCCGUUGUAUAGUUACAUGGCUUAACCAAGAGCAUACCCCCAGUGUACAUGAAUAUAACAUAAAAGAGAAAAUAAUUAGUUCAACGACGUGACGGUCGAUUGAACUGGGAUGCUCAAUUUAACGACAUGGCGGUCGAUUGGAAUUGGUUUGCUCAGUUUAACGACAUGGCGGUCGAUUGGGAUUUGGAUUUGCUCAGUUUAACGACAUGGCGAUCGAUUGUAAUUUGAUUUGCUCAGUUUAACGAUAUGGCGGUCGAUUGGGAUUUUGAUUUGCUCAGUUUAACGACAUGGCGGUCGAUUGGGUUGAAAUUGGAUUGCUCAGUUUAACGACAUGGCAAUCGAUUGGGAUUUGAUUUGCUCAGUUUAAUGACAUGGCGAUCGAUUGGGUUUGAUUUGCUCAGUUUAAUGACAUGGCGGUCGAUUGGGUUGAAAUUGGAUUGUUCAGUUUAACGACAUGGCGGUCGAUUGGAUUUGAUUUGCUCAGUUUAACGACAUGGCGGUCGAUUGGGUUUGAUUUGCUCAGUUUAACGACAUGGCGGUCGAUUGGGUUUGAUUUGCUCAGUUUAACGACAUGGCGGUCGAUUAGAUUGGAAUUGGAUUGCUCAGUUUAACGACAUGGCGGUCGAUUGGGUUUGAUUUACUCAGUUUAACGACAUGGCGGUUGAUUGGAUUUGAUUUGCUCAGUUUAACGACAUGGCGAUCGAUUGGAUUUGAUUUGCUCAGUUUAACGACGUGGCGGUCGAUUGGGUUUGAUUUGCUCGACUUGGACUCACCUUCAGCUUAAUUCUUAGUUUGGAGGACAUCAUGUAGGUGAAGGGCAAGUACACGAAAUGGACUUGACUUGGCAUACAUGAAUUUGAAGGUUUAAAUUCAAAAGUUUGAGUUUCAAGUUAAAAUUUUAGAUUUAAAUUUAAAAUUUAAGCUUGAGUUAGUUUUAUUUUGAAAUUGAAUUCUAAUUNAGAUAUAUAUAUAUAUAUAUAUAUAUAUAUAUGUUUGAUGCUAUAUGUGAAUUUGUAAUUUGUAUUUUAAAAUUUAGAUUUAAUGUAAUAUAUUUUGAAAUAUUGUAAAGAGAAAAAAUUGUUUUGGGUUCGAGCUUGGUUUCGAGUUCUGGAUUUUUGGUGGGGUUCGAUUUUGGAUAUAGAUUUUUAAAAUCCGUCAAAUUCGGAUUCGGGUUCAAGUUUUGGGUUUGGUAGACGGGUUUGGGUUCGGGUUUUUGAAAAUCUAUUCCAAAUCCGACCCGUUGACAUCUAAAGGUGUCCGUGGACCGAGUCGGGUCUGGAUAGUUGAUAUACUGUACCCGUACCCUAAAAAGAAAUUGUUAGAAAAAAAAAAAAACCCUACAUAUUUAAUUUCAGGUCGGGUCCGGAUCUGGGUACUUAAGUUACUAAUAUACUCAUCGGGUCUAUUUGAGCGGGUCUGGGUAGUGACUAUCCGUAUACUAUCCGUUCAAAACCGGAUACGAGUCGGGUACGGGUACCUGUAUAUAUAUUUUUUAUAGACUUUGUUAAAUUGUUUGGGCAAAAUUUGUUUCGGCCAUUAUAUUUACUGAUUAGAAGUAUAAAAUUCAAAAUAAUUUUAUAUGUAAACUUACAAAAAUUAAAAAAUUAUGAUACCAUAUUACAGAUAAAGAGAAUAUAAGUUGUAAUAAUUACUAAUAUUAUAUACUAACAUUCAAAAAAAAGGAGAAAAAAAUAAAGAUGAAUCAGAAAAUUUGUUAAAUAGAAUAUUUAUUAAAAAAAACUAGAUUGUCGACUAUGAUUGGAGAAAGAAUUUGAAAAUAAGAUCGUUGACCGGUUGUCCGAAUUUCCGAAAUGAGAUUUUUUCUAUUUUGAAUUCGAUAAUUUGACCGGAUUAGUCAACUUGGUCGGAUCGUAUUUUGGCACAUCUUUACUGCUAAAUAAUAUAAGAAGUACUAAAGGACAUAAAAACAAUUAGACAAUGGAGACCAACGAUGUAAUUAACGGGAACCAAAUAGCCUUAUUAAGAAACUGUCUACGUAGUUGCCGAAUAAACGAAGUAAAAUUAAAUUAGAGUCCCUCAACUUUCCGGAAAGUUUAUUUUACUCCUUAAACUUUUUAAAUUCAAUGUUUGGACACUGAAUUUCCAAAAAAAUUUUCACUUUUGUCUUCAUCUUAGCAGCAAUAAUUUUUGCCCUCUAAUAAUAAAUAUGGAUAAAAAGUAAAAUGAGCACUAUAAAAAGUUUAGGGUUUUAUUGCCGAGCAUAAAAGUUUAAGGAGCAAAAUGGAACUUGCCAAAAGUUCAGGGACUAGUAUUGCAAUUCACUCACUCAAAUUACAUUUCCCCACAUCUCCUUCUUAAUCUAAUGAGUGUUAAUGCAACAGCAACAUAAAGCCUAUCAUACGUACGGUCGAUCGCAGAGAAAUAAGUAUUUCUAAAUGAUCUACUUAACAAAAGAGCGCCAAAAAAAAUCCAAAAUCCUAUUAUAAAUCCUAACACCACGCUAAUGUAUAGCCCUAAUCUUUCAAACCGGUCAUGCGACUCUUUGCCAAAAACAAUAGUUGUUUCAUUAGUGGAGCAACUCUGCGUAGUUGGUGACCCGCAAAGAUAUGGAUUGCCAAUAUAUAUAGAUGGAUCGUUGAGAGUCUGCAUUUGAUUUCCUGAUGGAAUUUUUCCCGACAGAUUAUUAUACGACACAUUUAAACUGCUCAAAUAAUUCAGUGUAGCAAGACUUUGUGGAAUAGUCCCAGAAAGCUUGUUUAUUGCUACAUCAAGUGAUUCCAAUUCAUGCAUCUUGCCGAUUUGAUCUGGAAUAUGUCCUGUCAAAUGAUUCAUGGAUAAGUUUAGAUUUUGCAGUGCCUGUAAAUCUCCUAUCUCAUCAGGGAUCUCUCCAUAGAGAUUAUUACAGGAAAGGUCAAUGCUUUCGACAAGAUAAAGAAGUUUCGAAUAUUCCCGUGCCUCUCCUUUUACAACUAAAUAUGCAGUGCCAGCUAAGACAUCAAAGCUUCCAUAUCGAAAAAAUAGCAUGUGAUCUGUAGGAACCCCUUUUUUCCAACUUAAUUUUCCAAUAGAUCCGGGUAUAGUUCCAGAUAAGUUGUUGUGAGAAAGAUCUAAGACUCGUAGAAAUCCAAGUUGUGUGAUUUGCGAUGGGAUGCUACCUGAAAACCCAUUUGAGCGCAAGAUGAGCACCAUGAGAACCAAUAAGCUUUCCCCUAUCCAUUUAGAUAUUGUUCCAGAAAAAUUAUUAUUUCCAAGGUUAAGAUUAACUAACUGUCGACAAUAUUGCAAAGAAGAAGGAAUUUCCCCCGACAAGCGAUUAUUGCUUAAAUCCAGUAUCGAAAGAGCACGUAGUUUGCCGAGGGAGGUAGGAACAUUUCCAGAUAAAGUAUUGCUCAUCAUAUCAAGAACAAGAAGUUGAUCUUGCAACAUCCCUAGACACGAAGGAAUUUCUCCUGAUAGCUUGUUGUUCGAUAUAUCGAGAACUUGCAAUGAAGUUGAUUCACAUAAAGCGAAUGGUAGGUUGCCGUCGAAACUAUUAUUAGAAAGAAGCAAAUAUUGUAACCUUAAUAACGUAGCGUUCAGUAUCGGUCCCACAAAAAAAUUGUUGGACAAAUCCAAGAUAGAAAGAGUUUGUGGAAGAGCUGGCAAUGGGCCUUCAAGUUGGCUUGAGCUCAAAUUUAAAUAUAGUAGCAUGACAUGAUCCAGUGUCAAUGGUAACUUUCCUUUGAUUUGAUUAUUGGAAAUAUGUACAUAAGCUAAGGACCUGGACAUAUUCCAAAGCCAAUUGGGAAGGGUACCAACAAUUCCAUUUUUUGAUAAGCCAAGUUCUUCUAGUUGUGUCUGUCCUUGAAGCCAAGUAGGAAAUUUAGGUCCCAGAUUGCAAGAAGCCAAGUGAAGUGUUUUUAGUUGAAAAUGAGGAAUCCAAUCAUGACUAAUUUGCAAGUUAAAGGUGUUAUAUGCAAGGUCUAACCAUUUUAGCCUCUGCAAGUGAGAAAGUUGGACUUCUGUUAUAGUGCCCUCGAAGAAAUUACUUUGGAGAUAUAAUCUAGUUAAGUUAGUAAACCUCCAAACCCCAAGUGGGAUGGUCCCAUUUAGUGAAUUUCCACUUAGGUCUAUUUCAGUUAGGCUAGUCAUGUUCUCCAGCCAACCUGAUAAAUUACCGCUUAACUCGUUAUUCUUAAAAUACAGGUUUUGUAUAUUUUGUUGCGCGCAACUCGGCAGUCUCUCUGCCCAUUUAUUUAUUUCUCCACUAAAACCAACUCUACGCAAAUCCAAAGUAUUCAAGCUACAAAGAUUACUAAAUGCUUUCGGUGACAUGCCUUCAAAAUUAUUAGAUCCUAAAGAAAGAACAUUUAAGGACUUCAGGCAACUCAAUUCAUCGGGAAUAAAGCCAUGAAACUCAUUGGAAGAAAGGUCAAGAUGAGUGAUGCUAGUAAGAUUCCGUAGCCAUCUAGGCAAGGUAGAGUUGAUGUUGUUGCCUGCAAUGUUGAGGACUCCAAGGGUUGUAAUGUUAAGAUAUGGUAGGGAAAUGGGAAUUGUGGGAAGACUAGUCCAGCUCAUAUCAAGAUAUUUCAACGAUGGCAGCAUGUUUAUUGCUUGUAACCAAUAUGUAGCAAAACUCAUGUUAACGAAACUCAUAUUAAGAUAAUGCAAAGAAGACAUAUGGGCAAGCCACAAGAUAUUAUCAACUCUGAUAUUGGUAUCACAAUGGAAAGAACUGAGGUCGAGAUAAUGAAGUUUUGAGAGGUUUCCAAGUUGAGGCGGUACCAUUGCACUGAAACAAGCUCCAGAGAGGUUAAGAUAUCUCAAGUUUUUUAAAGAACCAAAGUACUUCGGGAUGCGAAUCUCGCUGAAGUUGUUCAAACUGAGAUCUAAGUGCUCCAAAUGAUUUAAGAGAAGCCAAGAUGGACUAAUCUUACCACCCAAAGCUGACGGUCUUUUACCAUAAUAAAGGUAAUCAAAAUUGUCGUAGGAGUUUCGCAGGUUGAGCUUCAAAAUGUGACCGCUUGUAUUGCUGCAAACGACUCCCUUCCAUGUACAGCAGUUUUGGCUUUUCCACGAGGCUAAGCGGUUGCGAGGAUCAAUUAGAUCUGCUUUGAAAGCUAGCAAUGCAUUUCUCUCGGUCUCGAAGCACCCGCUUGCCACAAAUGCUUGGAUGCCUAUGAGCAAAAGCAGAAAAAAAAUUGGAGGAGCCAUAUAUAUUGUCUCACGUUUUCUUUUUCUGUUUUAAAGAAAUGACAACUAACUAAGUUGGAAUUAAAGGCUAUGAAUUGAUCAUCAAAACUGGAGAAUAUAUAGUGAUCGAUGGCCCUGGUGCUUGGACUUGCAAAAGCAUUUAGACUCUUCAAAAAGUAUCUAUCUAAUUUGUUGGUUUUCUUUGAAUGAAAAUGGAGACUUUUACUAUUGCAAGAAUUUGUUACCUAAGUUAAAAUGGACCUACUAAAUAAGCAUCAUGAAGUAGAUCUGUAUUCAUGGUGAAGUUCCACACACGUGUGUAGACUUUUGGGUAUGCUUGGUUUGUGUUAUAGAAAUUUCUUAGAAUUUCUAGAGUUGUAUUAUCCGAAAACUGUAUUAUUUGCUAAAUUUUUACUGACGUGAACUGAACGAAUCCUAAAAGUCUUUAGACCUUUCCCAAAAAACACCUACUUGGUUGGUUUACUUUGAAUUAUUACAAGGAAUUUUACUAUUCUAUGUAACUGCCAACUUAAUUAAUAUGGUCCUAUCAAAUGAGCAUCAUAAUAUAAACUAAUCUAGAGGCAAAACAUAAGAUUUUGGGCCUUCCUAUGAAAAUGUAGUCAUAGGAAUCCUUUACUUUGAACAUGUGAGAGGAAAACACAUAAGAUUAUGGACCUUACUAAGAAAAAUAUAAACACAUGGUAAGAGUACUUCUAUAUUAUGUUCUAUCGGAUCGAUUUGAUGGAUAAUAUAUUUAAUUGCAAAGUGAUCAAUUCUUUACCCUUUUCUAGAUGCCUAAAUAAAGAUUAUUAUAUGAUCCUUCCUAUUGCUUAGUCAUAUUUUACCACAUUGAUGCAGUAGGAUUGUGGGCUUUUCUACGAAAAUGUAGAUAUUUGUUUCAUUUAAAUUUUAAUUCUCAAGUUUAAAUUUAAAUCCAAAUCAUAAAUUUAAUUUGUAUUUUGAACAACAAAAUUAGUUCUCAAGUUAAUUUCCAGUUUAAAAAUUUGAAUAUGAAUUUUAUUUAAAUGACUGUAUUGGUAACAAUUUUUUUUUUCCCACCCAAACAAUAAAAAAUAUAGGAUUGUUCCAAAUCCUGGGUGUCCCAUUCUUCUCCCUUCAAGUCUUGAUGUUCUCGUCAGGUUCAAGUACAACACUAAGCUAUCGCUAGGCUUAGCCGACGUUAUGGGGAGCAGCGUUCCACCCACAACGGUUGUCACCAGGGAGCCGCGCUUUGCCCCCCUGUACAAACAUAACUCAGUCGUGACUUAUGUUACACUUCUAGCAAGUCAUUGGCUCUGAUAUCAAUUGUGAUGCCCCAUUUUUCAGAGAGGUCGCCGAUCUUAGAGCUACUCUAACCCUAGCACAUUCAAUUCACUUAACCUUUUGGGACUAGCUAACGCGCAAAAUACUAUAUCGGACUAUUCCAAAUCCUGGGGUGUCACAGUAAAGUCGCAGAAGUCACCAAAUUUAUUUAGAUGGGAGAGAAAAAUUCCUAAAUUGCCGGUCUUCUCAUAGAAAAUGUACAUUCAUGUUUGUUCAGAUUAUUCCUGAGUUUUUUCUGUUAUAUCGAUUUGGUGGGUAAUGCCGUAUUAAUUAGAGUGAUCAAUUUGGUGGGUAACGUAGCAAUUCCUUUGCUACUGAUUUUUUAUUCCACCUCAACACCUCACAUAUUGACUUUGUGCCUGGUAAGUCACUCUCAUUUCAUUUCAGUUACGAGGACAUUAAUUUAAUAAUUAACAAAUUUUGCCUCGAUUUUUUUUUUAAUUACGCAAUACUUUUACCAAUAGUAGCAAUAAUUUCAGCUUUUUCAACAAUUAAUUAAUUAGAAAAAAAAUAUUAUUUGAACUAUUUAAUAAAAUUUACGGAGAAAUCGGGUAAUAAUUAAUUUGUGCGGCCUAUUUAUAAGGUCAACCUUCUGUACUCAAUAUGUUUAAAACCUAAAAAAAUAAAAAUAAAAAAUCGGCCCGACUUGACACGGCCCAUAAUUUUGUCAGUGCCCGACCGACAUGACCCACGUAACAUUCCUAAAUGUCAGUCUUUCAACUUUCUAGCAGAUUUUAUUCUAGGUCUUAAACUUUUUAAAUUCAAUAUUCGAAUAGCAAACUUUCAUAAUUAUCUAACUUCACAGUUGUAAUCUUAGAAAAUAAUAGUUUUUUUCCUCUAAACAUGAAUAAGAAGUAAAGUGAGCACUUUUCAAGAGUUUAGGGUUUCAAUUAGCGAGCAGAAAAAUUCUAGGAGCAAAAUGGAACUAGCCAAAAGUUCAGGGACUAGUGUUGCAAUUUACACAUCAAAAUUAAACACAGCUCCAGUGAUUCCAAAAACAGCAAUCAUUUCAGCACUGCAUGCUGUAAAUUGAAACACAAUAUUCAGUUUUUUCGAGCAUCAUAAAAUGCAACUGCAAAAAACUACACUUCCCCAAAUCUCCUCCUGAAUCUAAUGAGUGUUAAUGCAACAGCAACAUAAAGUCUAUCAUAUGUGCGGUCGAUCGCAGAGAAAUAAGAAAUUCUCAAUGAUCUACUUAACAAAAGAACACCACAGGAAAUCCAAAAUCCUAUUAUAUAUCCUAACACCACACUAACGUAUAGCCCUAAUCUUUCAAACCGGCCAUGCGGCUUUUUCCCAACAACAUGAGUUGUUUCAUUACUGGAGCAACUUUGCGUAGUUGGCGGCCCACAAAGAUAUGGAUUGCCGAUGUAUAUAGAUGGAUCGUCGAGAGUCUGCAGUUGAUAUCCUGACGGAAUUUUCCCUGACAGAUUAUUAUACGACACAUUAAGUGGCUCAAAUAAUUCAGUGUAGCAAGACUUUGUGGAAUAGUCCCAGAAAGGUUGUUCAUUGCUACAUCAGGGGACUCCGAUGCAUGCAUCUUGCUGAUUUGAUCUGGAAUAUGUCCUAUCAAAUGAUUCAUGGAUAAGUUCAGAUUCUGCAGUGCCUGUAAAUCUCCGAUCUCAUCAGGGAUCUCUCCAUAUAGAUCAUUGCAAGAAAGGUCAAUACUUUCGAAAAGAUAAAGAAGUUUCGCAUAAUCCCGUGUCUCUCCUUUUACGACAAAAUAUAAGCUGCCCAUGAGGCCUUCAUCACUUUCAUCUUCCAAAUACCGUAUGUAAUCCUCCGGAAUUCCUUUUUCCGAAGCAGUCAAACUAAAUUUUCCAAUAGAUCGAGGUAUAGUUCCAGAUAAGUUGUUGUGAGAGAGAUCUAAGAUUCGAAGAUACCCGAGUCGUGCAAUUUCCGAAGGAAUGCUACCAAAAAACACAUUUGAGCGCAAGCUGAGCACCAUGAGAACUGAUAAGCUCUGUCCAAUCCAUUCAGGUAUUGUUCCAGAAAAAUUAUUAUAUCCAAGGUCGAGAAUAAUUAACUCCGCACAAUGCUGCAAAGAAGAAGGAAUUUCUCCUGACAAGCUAUUAUUUCUUAAAUUCAAUAUCGAAAGACCCGUUUGUUUGCCGAGGGAUGCAGGAAUUUGUCCAGAUAAAUUAUUGUUCAUCGUAUCCAGAACAAAAAGCUGAUCUUGCAACAUCCCUAAACAGGGGGGAAUUUCUCCUGAUAGCUUGUUGUUUGAUAUAUCAAGAACUAUUAAUGAAGUUGAUUCACAUAAAGAGAGUGGUACAUUGCCGUCGAAACUAUUAUUAGAAAGAAGCAAAUACUCUAAACUCGAUAGCGUAGAGUUCGGUAUCGGUCCCGUAAAAAAAUUGUUGGACAGAUCCAGGACAGUAGGAGUUUGCGGAAGAGCUGGCAAUGGGCCUUCAAACUGGUUUGAGCUCAAAUUUAGAUACCGUAGCAUGACACGGUUCAGUGACAAUGGUAAUUUUCCUUUGAUUUGGUUAUACGAGAGAUUGAUUACUUCUAGGGAACUGGACAUAUGCCAAAGCCAAUCGGGAAGUGUAUCUACAAUUUUAGUUUUCGACAAGUUUAUCUCUCCGAGUUGGAUCUGUCCUUGCAGCCAAGGAGGAAAUUUCGGUCCCAGAUUGCAGGAAGCCAAUUUGAGUCCCUUCAGCUGAAAAGGAGGGGUCCAGUGAUGACUCAUAACUUGCACAUGUAAGGGGUUAUAUGAAAGUGAUAACCAUUUUAUUCUCUUUAAGUAGGAAAGUUCGAUUUCUGUUACGACACCCUCGAGGAAAUUACUUUCGAGAUAUAAUGCAGUUAAGUUAGGAAGCCUCCAGACUCCAAUAGGGACGGUCCCAUUUAGCGAGUUUCCAGAAAGGUCUAUAUUAGUUAGACUGGUCAUGUGCUCUAGCCAACCUGACAAGUUCCCCCUCAAUUUGUUAUCUGCAAAACGUAAAAUCUGUAGAUUUUGUUGCGCGCAGCUCGACAAUCUCUCCACUGAUCUAAUUCCUCGUCCGGCGAAACCAACGCUGUUCAAAUCCAGAGUGCUCAAGUUGCAAAGAUUAUUAAAUGCUUUCGGUGACACGCCUUUGAAAUUAUUAUAUCUCAAGAGAAGGACUUUUAGAGACUUUAGGAAACUCAAUUCAGAAGGAAUGAAACCAUGGAAUUGAUUGAAAGAAAGGUCGAGGUAAGUGAUGCCGGUAAGGUUCCAUAUCCAUCUAGGUAUGGUGGAGUUGAUGUUGUUGCUUGCGAUUUUGAGGACUCUAAGACUCGUAAUGUUGAUAUACGGUAGAGAAAUCGAUAUUGCGGAAGGAUUAGUGUAGGUAAUAUCAAGAUAUGUCAAAGAUGGCAGCUUGUUUAUUGCUUGAAACCAAUCUGUAGCAACACUACUCAUGUCGACAAAACUCAUAUCAAGAUAACGCAAAGAAGAUAGAUGAGCGAGCCACGUUGUUGUCUACUGCAAUAUCGUAAGCAUCACAACCGAUUGACCUUAUGUCAAGAUAAUGAAGGUUUGAGAGAUUUCCGAGUUGAGGAGGUACAGUUCCACCGAAACAAGCCCGAGAGAGGUUAAGAUACCGUAAAUUUUUCAGAGAACCAAAGUACGUCGGGAUGCGAAUUCCGUUGAAAUUGUUCAAGCUGAGCUCUAAGUGCUUCAGAUGAUUUAAGAGAAGCAGAGAUGGACUGAUCUUACCACUCAAAGCCGGCGACGGUCUUUUAUUAACAUCGUUAUAGGAGUUUCGCAGGUUGAGUUUCAGAACAUGACCGGUUGUGUUGCUGCAAACGACUCCCCUCCACUUGCAGCAGUCUUGGCCUUCCCACGAGGACAGGCGGUUGCCCGGAUCAGUGAAGCCCGCUUUGACAGCCAGCAGUGCAUUUCUCUCGGUCUGGAAGCACCCGCUUGCCGCAAAUGCUCGGAUACCUAUGACCAAAAACACAGAAAAAUCUGAAGAACCAUACUGUUCUAAACGAGUAGUAACUAAUUAAGUCGGAAGGCUAUGAAUGGAUCAUCAAAAUCUGGAGAUCGACUAUAUGUAUAUGGUGAUGGUCACCAGGUGUUGUGGACAUAAUUAAGAAGGCCUUGGACUCUUGAAAAAAAAUCUAGUUGGUUUGUUAAUUGACUUUGAACAGCAGUGGAGUGUGUUGUCUUAUUACUUUUAAAUUAUUUUGUCCAAAUCCCAAUGAGCAUCAACAAGUAGAUGAAUGAUCUGGAAUAAAAACAAGGUUCUGGGCCAUUUGGUCCCCCACACUUUGUGUGAUUACGCGGAGUUUGGGUUUAAAAAAAUGAAAUAGAAAACGACUGCAGUGCCAAAGAAGUCUAGGAUUGUGGGCCUUCCCAUGACUCUUUCUGAAUGUUGUGUUUCCUUUUCUACCACGUCCAUAUCUUUGUUAGUUAAUUCGCAAAUUAUUCGUAAAUUAUUCAUAAAUUAUUAAAAAUCCGAAUUAAAUAGUUCGUUUACGAAUUUUUUCAAAGAAAAAAAUAAAUUAUUCACGAAUUUUUGGGCCAGCCGAAUAAUUCGCGAAUUAUUUCUGGAUUAUUGAAAAUCUGAAUAAAAAGCUUAUAAUUUUUAUAUUUAAAUAUAGAUUAUCUUAUAUUUUAUAUUUUAUACUGAAUUCAUUUUUUAAGCCGAAUUUUUUAAUAAAUUUAAAAAUUAGAAAAUAAAUUUUAUGCGUAUUAUAUAUGUACCGAAUUUUUGCCGAAUCCGAAUUAACUAAUUAUGGUCUAUACUUCAACUAUAUUACUACUAGGCUUAACAUUGUCCAAAAAAAAAGAAAAAAACGAAAACAAAAAGAAACUAUUUCUGAAUUGUAUCCUCUUAGAUUGAUUUGGAGGAUAACAUUGUUGGCUAUUUAUUAUUUGGCAAAAAUAGGUCCAACUUUCUGUCCUGUAAUAAUAGGCACAAAGAUUAAAAAGUUGAGUUGGGUGAGCUUAAUUAAUUAGUUUAGUGGGGGUGUGGUUCACAAGAGACCUAACAGCAAGAUGCCGAACAAUAGACCCAACGUUAAGGUGGGUUGAGUCAGGUCGAAAUCUGCGAGCAUUGUGGCUGAGCCCUUAAGUCAGGUGGAUGCACUCUUCCUAUCAGCACGUGCUUUAGAAUAGUUGGUUAGCGCUUACGAUCUACAAACAUAGUAUUAAAUUGAGCAGUUUUAACUCUCCAGGAAUAAAAUGCAAUCAACCUACAAAGUUCAACUUUCAUAUAUUUUUUUUGCAAAAAUCUUAAUGUUUUCAAAUAUGUCCCUGCUGUUAGAAUUCAUUAGAAAACUUUAAUUAACUAUAAGUUAAAUAAUUAACUCUAAUUAAUUUAUAAGACAACUUGACAUUUUUUGCCCCUCUCAUAUUAUAGUGUUGUGACUGUUGAAUGGACAAAUUUGUCAAGGCAAAAUUGACGUUUCAGUAACAAACUAGAGUAAUAUAUUUGAAAACAUUAGAACUUUUUCAGAAACAACAUAGAAAAGUUAAACUUUAUAGGGGCAUAUUUGAAAUUCACUAUAUUUGUAUGGACAUGAAUACAUUUAACUCUAAAUUUUUUGAAAAUAACAUGCUGGAACAAGAAUUAAGGUAAUUAAUUUAAAAUUCACGACCUAAUUAAUUUAUUCAUUAAUGUAGUUAAUAUGCUAACGUAUUUUGUAAUUAAUUAAAUCAUUCAUUAAAGCCAAGACAUGGAUAGCCAAUUUCAAUAGUACAUAGUAGAAAUAAAUUAUAUAUGUUUUUACCCAAAAAAAACCAAAAAAAACCAUAGCCCGCGGUCAAUAAAAUUACUAGAAUUCGACUUUUUUUUUUUACGCUAAUACUAAAAAUUUAUAAUUUUUUUUUAAAAAAAUUUUAGAUGCUGAGGUGCAAGUAUGUUAUAUAGAUAUAAAUCUUAUACUCUAGUCUCUUACUUGUCUUGGGUCAGUUGGUUCCCCCCAAAAAAAAAUAUAUCUUUGGUAGGUAUGUUCGGGUCUAAAUAGUUAAUAUACUGUCUACAUACUCUAAAAAGAAAUGUGUAGGAAGAAAGAAAAAAAUCCAAUCUAUUUAACUUUGGAGAGGGUCUAGAUCAUGAUAUUUAAGUUACUAAUAUACUUAUUGUGUUAAUUUGAGCGGAUUUGAAAAAUAACUACUCAUAUAUUACCUAUUUAAGAUCAGGUUGGAUACGGAUUGAGUAUAAAUCAGGAACGAGUACCCAUAUGCUUAUCUAUGGUAUAAAGCACAAAUAUUUAUUAUAUAAUAAGUUAAAAAUAAAAAUAUAAAAUUUGCAAUACAUACCACCACCACCCUAAACAGCUAGAAUAAUAUAAUAGUUAAAAUUAUAUUUAUAAUAAGUCCAAAUACAUAUAAUAUAUAAUUGCAUAUAAGUAGUCAUAUAGCGUACACUGUAAUUUCAAAAUACAUGCACCUACUAAAAUAUAGUUAAAACACAUGUGCAAUAAGUCUGAAACAUUAUAGUAAAAAAUUAAGUAUCAAAAUUUUCAAAUUUUUAAUAUUUUUCUCUUUACUUUAAUAUUCGGCAGUCGAGAAUUUCAUCGGGCUUGGGUCCUGAUAUGAAAGCUAUUUCAGACUCUGCCCACCAAAAGAUCAGGUCCUAGUUGGCUCCAAGUCGGAUAUGGAUAUAACGUAUCCGGAUUUAUUUCUGAAACUUUAAUAGAUAAUUUUUCUUACUCAUAUAAUAUUCAUUUUUGAUUGGAUUCGAAACCGGUCUAAAUCAGGUACGGGAUAUUGAGUAUUUUGGACAUCUAUAUUCUUUGGUGGGACCAAGCUAAGAUUUUUG